rnacentral:rRNA from 1 species
UACGUAGGGGGCAAGCGUUGUCCGGAUUUACUGGGCGUAAAGCGCGCGCAGGCGGCAGGUUAAGUAAGGUGUGAAAUCUCCCUGCUCAACGGGGAGGGUGCACUUUAGACUGACCAGCUAGAGGGCGGUAGAGGGUGGUGGAAUUGCUGGUGUAGCGGUGAAAUGCGUAGAGAUCAGCAGGAACACCCGUGGCGAAGGCGGCCACCUGGGCCGUACCUGACGCUGAGGCGCGAAGGCUAGGGGAGCGAACGGG